GCUCCCCUGGCGUAAUGGUAACGCGUUGGACUUCUAGCACCUCCUGGCUCCGCGAUCCAAAGACUGCGGGUUCGAGCCCCGCGGGGAGUG
rnacentral:tRNA from 1 species